UACGAAGGGUGCAAGCGUUACUCGGAAUCACUGGGCGUAAAGCGUGCGUAGGCGGUUCGUUAAGUCUGCUGUGAAAGCCCUGGGCUCAACCUGGGAACUGCAGUGGAUACUGGCGGACUAGAGUGUGAUAGAGGAUGGUGGAAUUCCCGGUGUAGCGGUGAAAUGCGUAGAUAUGCGGAGGAACACCGAUGGCGAAGGCAAUCCCCUGGACCUGUACUGACGCUCAUGCACGAAAGCGUGGGGAGCAAACAGG
rnacentral:rRNA from 1 species